UGCCCAUCUCAGUAGAAAAUUUCCUUACCAAAUUAUGAUGAUGUUUCUAACUUUUCAGUUUAUUGUUGACCGGAGGCUGCAAUCAAUGAGAAUAGAAUACUAUGUUUCAUUCAGGUUAUAGGUUGAGGCCACGGAAAGCAAGCACACCAGAAAACGUCCCAAGCCAUUUGGUUAAAUGUGCAGGAUACAGGAUCAGGUUAUGAUGGAUUCUGCAGCUUAUGUUUAUGUUAGCAAAAUGGGCAACAUCCAACGCUUCUUGCUAGCCGGUGAUUAUCUCAAACUUACAUGAUAAUAUGUUGAGGUUGAGGAAUCAAUACAUGGGCAAGAAAAAUUAUGAAGGGUAAUUAUUCUGAUUGAAGUAGAUUUCUGUGCAAAUGGUGAAUGCCCAAUUGAUAUUACGUGUACUUGAAAGUCAUAAGGAUUACAGUGGUGAAGGAGUUGACACCAUCGAA